rnacentral:rRNA from 1 species
AUUGCACGCUGGCGGCAGGCCUAACACAUGCAAGUCGAGCGAGCGGCGGACGGGUGAGUAAUGUAUGGGGACUGCCCGAUAGAGGGGGAUAACUACUGGAAACGGUGGCUAAUACCGCAUACUAUCGGAUAACCCAUAUGGGAUUAGCUAGUAGGUGGGGUAAAGGCUCACCUAGGCGACGCUCUCUAGCUGGUGUGCGAGGAUGAUCAGCCACACUGGGACGGAGACACGGCCCAGACUCCUACGGAGGCAGCAUUGGGGACAAUUGCACAUUGGGCGCAAGCCUGAUGCAGCCAUUCCGCGUGGAUGAAGAAGGCCUUAGGGUUGUAAAGUACGUUCAGCGGGGAGGCGUUACCCGCUGAAGAAGCACCGGCUAACUCCGUGCCAGCAGCCGCGGUAAUAC